rnacentral:rRNA from 1 species
UGGGGAAUAUUGCACAAUGGGCGCAAGCCUGAUGCAGCCAUGCCGCGUGUAUGAAGAAGGCCUUCGGGUUGUAAAGUACUUUCAGCGGGGAGGAAGGGAGUAAAGUUAAUACCUUUGCUCAUUGACGUUACCCGCAGAAGAAGCACCGGCUAACUCCGUGCCAGCAGCCGCGGUAAUACGGAGGGUGCAAGCGUUAAUCGGAAUUACUGGGCGUAAAGCGCACGCAGGCGGUUUGUUAAGUCAGAUGUGAAAUCCCCGGGCUCAACCUGGGAACUGCAUCUGAUACUGGCAAGCUUGAGUCUCGUAGAGGGGGGUAGAAUUCCAGGUGUAGCGGUGAAAUGCGUAGAGAUCUGGAGGGAUACCGGUGGCGAAGGCGGCCCCCUGGACGAAGACUGACGCUCAGGUGCGAAAGCGUGGGGAGCAAACAGG